rnacentral:rRNA from 1 species
GUGAGGAAUAUUGGACAAUGGGCGCAAGCCUGAUCUAGCCAUGCCGCGUGAGCGAUGAAGGCCUUAGGGUUGUAAAGCUCUUUCAGCUGGGAAGAUAAUGACGGUACCAGCAGAAGAAGCCCCGGCUAACUCCGUGCCAGCAGCCGCGGUAAUACGGAGGGGGCUAGCGUUGUUCGGAAUUACUGGGCGUAAAGCGCGCGUAGGCGGACCAGAAAGUUGGAGGUGAAAUCCCAGGGCUCAACCUUGGAACUGCCUUCAAAACUCCUGGUCUGGAGUUCGAGAGAGGUGAGUGGAAUUCCGAGUGUAGAGGUGAAAUUCGUAGAUAUUCGGAGGAACACCAGUGGCGAAGGCGGCUCACUGGCUCGAUACUGACGCUGAGGUGCGAAAGCGUGGGGAGCAAACAGGAUUAGAAACCCGAGUAGUCC